rnacentral:tRNA from 1 species
GCGGGAAUAGCUCAGCGGUAGAGCAUUAGCCUUCCAAGCUAAGGGUCGCGGGUUCGAAUCUCGUUUCCCGCU